UUGGAUUCUCCAUAUCUCAAGGCCUUGGGGGCCAAGAGGAUCAGCAGCCUGCUGUGGUAAGCAAGGCAGGUUGAACUGGUUUCUGUGUCCAACCUCAGAGCUGGGACCUUUCUCUUGCCACUGUCCCUUCCUGGCUAUGGCAGGGGACUCCUCUAUUGGAUUGUUAGGUCCCCAGCAACCCUGAGAAUGGAUAAAGGGGGACUUGGGCUGCAGGUUUCCAGGGCAAAGGCGAACUGCUGGAAGGGGUUCUUCCACUAUGCUCCCAGACACCAAGGGACCACACAAAGGACUGGCUUCAGGCUUACAAUGGUAGGGCGGUUAGUCACUGUGCCAGGGUAGCAGGCUGGGCCCUAUAGCUCCUGAUCCCCUGCCUGUGCUCCAUCCUAUCUCUGCCUGUGUGCUUUGUUUGCACCCCACCCCGCUCCCCAAGUUAACCCUCCACUACCCAUUGCCUACCUGGCAGCCUCUGGUGGCACAUCUUUGCCAGGCUUUGGUUACCAUCAGCUACUUUGGCCAAAUAACACUACUUUGGCCAAAUAACACUCUUUCUAGAGGCCGAGUUCAGACCUGUAAGAUUUCACUGGCCUCUCUGGAGAAAACCAUUGGCAGGGCUCUGUCACUGGGCACUCACUGUCACUGGAUUUUCAUAUUAGAGAACACUGUGUGCAGGGCGCCCAACUUAAAAAAUCCCAGCCAAAGUAGAAAGAAGGUAUUGUCCAAGGAUAAGAAAGGAGGGACACCAGGACUGUGAAAGAUGAGGGAGUCACCCUGGAGUGGGUGUAUGUUUCAAAGUGAGCAGACUGAUGUGAAUAUUUUAAUCCUGUGUGUAGAUAGAUGGAUAAGAUAAAAUAAAUUAAUUAUGACCCCACCCUGUCUGGAGACUCCCAAAAGCACUUUUGCUGCUAGCCUUGGCAUUGGCUAGUUGGCAGUUACAAGUGAAAUCUCCCCUAGGCCUUGGUCCCAGAGCCUCAGAUGGAAUUGGCAUUUUGCUGUGAUUUGAUAGUUAAAUUAUUGAUGAUUACAGAAGGUAAUUCUCCCCAAAAGGUAUAAAGCACACUAAUAGCCCAUUCCUGCCUUUUAAUUUAAAAAUCAUCUCGGCAAAGAAUUUAGAAUCCUGGCUUUUGUUUGCUAAAUUAAAAUGGCAUGU
rnacentral:lncRNA from 1 species